rnacentral:rRNA from 1 species
UGCGUAGGUGGUCGGGUAAGUCUGAUGUGAAAUCUCCGAGCUCAACUCGGAAAUGGCAUUGGAUACUAUCCGGCUAGAGGGUCGGAGGGGGGACUGGAAUUCUCGGUGUAGCAGUGAAAUGCGUAGAUAUCGAGAGGAACACCAGUGGCGAAGGCGAGUCCCUGGACGACUCCUGACACUGAGGCAAGCUAGGGGAGCAAACA